rnacentral:rRNA from 1 species
UAAACUAAUUCUAAAAACCCAAACUACCUCCUGAAAUAACCAUGAGUUAUUUUAUAAAAAUAUAAAAACAUUAAUGCUAGAACUAGUAAUAAGAAACAUUCUCUCAGCACACCCUUAAAUCAGAAUAGAAAAUCUACUGACAAUUAACAGAUAGCCUGACAAACACACACAAGAACCCCAUGUCACCAAACUCUGUUAACCCAACACAGGAGUGCAAGAAAGAAAGGUUAAACAAUGUAAAAGGAACUCGGCAAUUCUAAGUCCCAACUGUUUACCAAAAACAUAGCCUUUAGCCCAACAAGUAUUAAAGGUCCCACCUGCCCAGUGACUAUUUUAAACGGCCGCGGUAUCCUAACCGUGCAAAGGUAGCAUAAUCACUUGUCCCCUAAAUAGGGACUAGUAUGAAUGGUCAAAUGAGGACUAAACUGUCUCUUACAUUUAACCAAUAAAACUGAUCUCUCAGUUAAAAAGCUGAGAUAUAAACAUAAGACGAGAAGACCCUGUGGAGCUUCAAACCAAGCCCAACCCUAAUGGAUGUUCGGUUUUUAGUUGGGGCGACUUCGGAGUACAAAAAAACCUCCGACACAACCAUAUCAAGACCAACACGUCAACAUAUGUUCUUACUGACCCGGUAUUUAAUAAAAUAUCCGAUCAAUGAACCAAGUUACCCCAGGGAUAACAGCGCUAUCCCCUUCUAGAGUCCUUAUCGACAAGGGGGUUUACGACCUCGAUGUUGGAUCAGGACACCCAAAUAGUGCAGCCGCUAUUAAAGGUUCGU